rnacentral:rRNA from 1 species
UGGGGAAUAUUGGACAAUGGGGGAAACCCUGAUCCAGCGACGCCGCGUGGGUGAAGAAGGCCUGCGGGUUGUAAAGCCCUUUCGGUUGGGAAGAAAAGUUGCGACCUAACACGUCGCGACCUUGACGUAACCAACUAAAGAAGCACCGGCUAACUCUGUGCCAGCAGCCGCGGUAAUACAGAGGGUGCGAGCGUUAAUCGGAAUUACUGGGCGUAAAGCGCGCGUAGGCGGCUUGGCAAGUCGGGUGUUAAAUCCCCGGGCUCAACCUGGGAACUGCAUUCGNGACUGCUUUGCUAGAGUAUGGGAGAGGGAAGUGGAAUUUCCGGUGUAGCGGUGAAAUGCGUAGAUAUCGGAAGGAACAUCAGUGGCGAAAGCGACUUCCUGGACCAAUACUGACGCUCAUGUGCGAAAGCGUGGGGAGCAAACA